ensembl:lncRNA
GGUACUUGUUGAAGUCCUUUCUGGUUUUUAUAGAGGGCUGUCUUCUUGUGUCCUUAUAUGGUGGUAAGGGGAGGGGUGGGGGGGAGAGAGGGAGAGAGAGGAGGAAGCUCUCUAGUGUUUCUUCUUGUAAGGUACCAACAUCAUUCAGGAGAGCUCUAUCCUCACAACCUAAUCACCUCCCAGGGGCCCCACCUCCUAACACCAUCACACUGAGGGGUGAGAUUUUAACAUACGAGUUUUGGGGAGACACAUUCAGUCCAUAGCACUUGAAUACACUUUGUGCCUGCUAACUUCUCUGUUCUUACCCAGCCCCUAUCUUACUCUUUACUUGGCUUUUCUUGUUGACCCACUCAUGUCCCACGAAACAAUCUGCAAUUGAUCUGGUAUUGGCUUUGUACUGUAUUCUGCCUCUAACCAACAAAUCCUUUUCCCAUCACACGUGGUCAUCUAACUAACACAUUUGCCCAUAUAUUCAUUAAUCAAAAAUCUAGAUCCUGGGCCUACGCUGUGCCAGCACUGCUGUGGACACCGAGGACUUGGUGGCAAACUGCAUGCUCUCUGCUGUCACAGAGUUUAUGGCAUCGGUAGAGACAGAUGGCCAGCAGACAAAGAGAAGAAAGUCAUGAAACUUCCCUUCGGUCCUGUGAUUCCUGGAUGCCGGUUCUGAUUGAAGAUGUGUUUCUAGAUGUGAGUGGCCAUACUUUAUUGCUUGUGGCUUAUGGAAUGGAUAACCUAUGUGGGUUCCAUUUCCUCAUCUUUAAGGUAAGAGGUCUUCUAGCUCUAAAAUUUUAUGAAUUGACAAACCACUAACUACAAGAUGGACACUCCAUAAAUACUAAGUCACAUUCUCCACAGUCACACAACCCCAAAGUAACGUAAAUUUCUUUUUCCAUGACAAGGUGCCAGAGAUAGUAUACCUUUCUUUCCUGCAUUUUCCUGUGCAGUUGUACACUGUUCUCGCCCAACUGGCUUCUAGUACCCCUUGUCAUUGCCUCUUGCAUUCAUGUUUCAUAUUCCUCCUGUGAUUGAUUAAUCUCUCUCUUUCUCUGUCUCACACACUCUAUAAAUACACACAGAGACAUAUAUAUGUACACAUAUAUAAUUUGUUUGUGCAUAAAAAGCAGCCAAAGUAUCUUCUUACUCUGAUUUUAGAGAUUAUAACUUUUAGGUUCUUUGGGGUGGGAUGGGAGGCAAAAAAAUUGCUCAGGCAGAGUUCUGAUGCUACUAAUUACUCACCAAGACAUGAGUAAGAAAGACCAUUUUUGUAAGCAAUGAAUUGGCUCAUUUAAAAUCUUUUUUUUUUUUUCAUUUUUAGAAAAAAGAAAGAGGAAGAAAGAAGAAAGUCAAAAGGAUGAAAGAACAAAAGCAGCUCCCCAUAGAAAGACAGACUCUUUGCCAGCACAUUUAAGAAUCUAAAUGAGGCCAAGUGCCACGCAGAUAGAGGACUCUACUUGCUGCAUGGUAAAUUAAACAGGGGUAGGGGGAAGUGUGCAUCAAACAAUACUUUCCGAGGGGACAACAACAAGGCUUAAGAGAAUUCAGACCCUGAGUUUCCUGCCUCACCAGGGAACCUGGCACAGAAGGGUAUCUAAGAGGGUAAAAUAGACUGGAAUCAGACCUAGAACAGACUACCUCCUCCAAAGCAGUGGGGAUGGAGUAUGCAUUGUGGAGACAGACCCUGCUGCAGCCAGGUGGAUGGCUCCUAGUGGCCAGAGGGCUGACAUCAGGCAGCAGGUGGGAGUCCAGGCUAUCCGAUGGUGCCAGUGAAGGGAGCAAGAAGGCUGUGACUGCCUGUUACAGACCAAAACAGGGAAAGACUCAGGGCAGGCACUAGUAGAGACCCAGAGAGACAGCUACUUGUCAGCAGGGAAGGCAGAUGGGAAGAGUAAGAGCAGGAGGGCCUUCGUCACACUGCUGGACCAAUGUGACAUUGGGUGGGCCUGGGAACAAGUACCUCAGUCCUGGAUGGCAGGAGAGGGUAGAGAGAAACUGAUCAGAGGGAAGUUGUUGAGUAGGAAACUUCAGCAAUUUCCUAGGACUGCCGUAACAAAGUGCCACAGCCUGGGUCAGUUACAAUUAUAGAAAGGUAUCCUCUCACAGUUCUGGAGAUUAGAAGUCUGAAAUCAAGAUACCAGCAAAAUUGGUUCCUUCUGGAGCCUCUGAGGGAGGAUGUGCCCUAUGCUUCUCUCCUGGCUGCUGGUGGUUGUUGGCAAUUCUUGGUGUCCCUGGGCUUGCAGGCACAUCACCCUAAUCUCUGCCUCUGUCAUCAAGUGGCGUUCUCUCUAAGAGCCCCUGCCUAUUUUCUCUUCUUAUAAAGACUCAAGUCAUUGGAAUAGGGCCCACUCUAAUGCAGUAUGACCUUAUCUUACAUUAAUAAAUCACAUAUCCAAAGGCCUUGUUUUAGGAUUCUCCAGAGAAAUGGAGCCAAUAGGAGAUAGCACACACAGGCACACACAUACAAUUUAUUAUAAGGAACUGGCUCACACAAUUAUGGAGGCUGAGAGUCCCAAGAUCUGCAGUCGGCAAGCUAGAAACUGCUGAUGUGCAGUUCGGUCUGAGACUGAAGGCCCUAAGGAUCCAAGAAAGCCAGUGCUGUAAGUUUCAGUCCAAAAGCCAGCAGCCUUGAAACCUAAAAAAAGCAGAUGUUUCAGUUUGAGUCCAAAUGACAGGAAAGAUCAAUGUCCCAGCUCAAGGCAGCCAGGCAGGAGGAGUUCCCUCUUCCUUGCAGUAGGGUUAGCCUUUUUGUUCUAUCCAGGCCCCUUCAACUGAUUAGAUGAAGGUCACCCACAUUAGAGAGGGC